ACACUCAGUUUUGAACAAACAGUGACACCUGAGAAGCAUGGUGACUGCUCUGAUGAAGCCUUUUGUUUUGCUUUCAGACAAUGAGUAUAUAUUUAUGGAUUUGGAGCAAAAGCUCAGCAAGUACUUCUCAAAAGAUUGGAAGAAAGAAAUAAAUGAAGGAAAUGAGAAACCCAGAGCCCCCUUCGUGGCCUUCCUCCGAGUGCAGCACUACGUGGAAAACGGAAGGGUCAUAAGCGACCACAGAGCACGGCACCUGUACUACUGCCAUUUGAAGGAGCGCGUGCUGAGGUCACAGUGCGCCCACCAGGAGGAGGCCUACUUCCUGCUGGCCGCCUGUGCGCUGCAGGCCGACCUGGGUGAGCACCGGGAGCCAGCCCAUGCCGGGAGGUACUUCGAGCCACACUCCUACUUUCCACAGUGGAUCAUCACCAAGAGGGGGAUUGACUACAUCCUCCAGCACGUGCCCGCCCUGCACCGUGAGCGCCAGGGCCUGAGCCCCAAGGAGGCCGUGCUGUGCUUCAUCCAGGAGGCCUGCCGGCUGGAGGACGUGCCCGUGCACUUCUUCAGGCUGCACAAGGAUAAGAAGGAAGGUCGCCCCACCGUGAUCCUGGGACUGGCCCUCAGGGGAGUGCACAUCUACCAGGAGGUGGACCGUGCUCCGCAGCUGCUGUACGACCUCCCCUGGCCCCACGUUGGGAAGCUGGCAUUUCUGGGGAAGAAGCUGGAGAUCCAGCUGGACGGGCUGCCUGCAGCACAGAAGCUGGUUUACUACACGGGCUGCACCUGGCGCUCCAGGCACCUGCUGCACCUGCUGCGCGCCAGCCACCAGCUCCACCUCCGCGUGCGGCCCACUCUGCAACAGCUGCGGCAGCGGGAGGAGGCAGAAGAGAAGCAGCGCUACCGGGAGUCCUAUAUCAGCGAUGGGCUGGAGCUGGACCUGGCCAGCAGGAGCUCCCCGGGCAGUGGGGUCAGCAGCCAGCACUGCCCCCACUGCCUUUCACGCCACUCCGCCGACAGCCACAGCAGUUCCUACACGUCAGGCAUCAAGGCCGACUCCUGGCUCAGGGAAUCCAGAGAGAUGUCUGUGGACGUGCCCUUGGAGGUCCACGGGCUCCAUGAGAAGGAGCCGUCCUCCAGCCCCAGGACCAGCCGCAGCCACCCCAGCACACAUGGUGACAGCCAAGCCACUCGCCAGGAGCCCUGUGCCAAGGUCAGGACCAGAGGCCAGAGCGCCGAGGCCAUGCACCAGAUCCAGGAAACGAAAGCCGGGGUCAGUGAGGAGCAGCACAGCUGCAGCCUGGACGACAUGCAUCUGCACCAGCUGGCCCUGCACCCAGCACCCGCCUCACUCAGCCAUACCUUCCACUGCGCCCUGGACUGCAGGCUGGCGGGCCCCUGCGAGACCAGGGCCACUCUCCCCAGCAAGAGGUCCAGCAACUGCCUCGCCCUGGACCUGUUCGGAGAGGCCCCACCACAGGAGUUUGUGGUGUAGGCACCACCCACCCAGCAGUGCCGUCUGCACCGCCAGGCUCAGCCCCUGUCCACUCCACUGCCACGUGGUCCUCGGCCCUUCCUGCCCGCCAGAUGCUGCCCGCACCUC
rnacentral:sRNA from 1 species